UCUCCUUCACACUCUCCCCACUGCUGGAGGCUCAGUUCAUUCAACGUGGACAGUCUCCCCUUCCAUUCCUGACCACUUCCCUUUUGACCUGUAACGCCGGGAAGGGCAGAGGCUGGGCUUAUUUGCUAUGACUAGAUCCAGGGAGUCAGUGGGAGGCAGAAGCGCAGCCAGCUCAGCGGAGCAGUACAUAAGGAGCUUAUGAGCCCUGUCUGGCUCAGCAAUGUGUAAAGCGCUCUCACACUGAGAAGGGACGCCAGCCAGGUCGGACUUGACUUUUCCCAGGGAAGAGCACAGCUGCGAGGGAGAGAAGACGGAUCAAGCGCUCCAGCUCACCUUCUGCUCCUUCUUGCAAAAGAGUUCAGAACCUGGAGAUUUCAGACGCCCGAACGACAGAAUGAAGGUCUUCUGGACUCUGCUGGUGGUCUCACUUCUGGCAGAUGAGUGUGCUGCUGUUCAUGUGUCUCGAACACGGAGAGAACUGGCUCCAGGACUGCACAAACAGGGAAUUCGAGAUGCCGGGGGCUCGUACUGCGAGCGCCAGGAUGCCUGUUGCCCCGGGAGGAAUGACGCUUGCACGGUGCCUUACCUUGAUACCAUUUGCUACUGUGACCUGUUCUGCAACCGCACCGUCUCAGAUUGCUGUCCCGAUUUUUGGGAAUACUGCUUGGGCAUUGAGCCUCCAUUUACGGCGCACAAGGGCUGCAUCCGCGAUAGUCACAGAUUCCCAACAGGUGCAACCUACAGAGAUAACUGCAACCUCUGCACUUGCAGUGGAAAUGGGCAGUGGGACUGUGAAAGCCAUGCCUGCCUUCUGAACGGGGAACUGAUCGAUGCUGUCAACAGAGGGAAUUAUGGCUGGACAGCAUCCAACUACAGCCAGUUCUGGGGCUUGACUCUGGAAGAGGGGAUCCAGUACCGGCUGGGCACCAUCAAGCCUCCCACGGCCGUCAUGAAUAUGAACGAGCUGCAUAUGAACAUGGAUGCCAACGAGGUACUUCCGCCCCAUUUCAAUGCUGCUGAUAAAUGGUCUGGAAUGAUCCAUGAGCCACUGGACCAAGGAAACUGUGCUGGCUCUUGGGCCUUUUCUACUGCAGCGGUGGCCUCGGACCGAAUCUCCAUCCACUCCAUGGGGCACAUGACUCCUGCCUUGUCUCCCCAGAACCUCCUUUCCUGUAAUACCCGCCACCAGCAAGGUUGCAGUGGAGGCCGGAUUGAUGGGGCUUGGUGGUUUCUACGCAGGAGAGGAGUGGUGACAGAUGACUGUUAUCCUUUCAACAACCAAGACAAAGAUAGUUCUCCAGCAUCCCCUCCUUGCAUGAUGCACAGCCGAGCCACGGGCCGAGGGAAGAGGCAAGCCACGGCACGCUGCCCGAAUCCCCGGGCACACGCAAACGAUAUCUACCAGUCUACCCCUGCUUACCGACUCUCCUCCAGCGAGAAGGAGAUCAUGAAAGAGCUCAUGGAAAAUGGACCUGUGCAAGCCAUCAUGGAGGUGCACGAAGACUUUUUCAUGUACAGGAGUGGAGUUUAUCAGCAUACUCCUGUAGCGGCCGGAAAGCCAGAGCAGUACCGGCGGCAUGGCACCCAUUCUGUCAAAAUCACAGGGUGGGGAGAGGAGCAGACACCAGAUGGACGAAACCAGAAAUACUGGAUUGCUGCUAAUUCCUGGGGGAAGCACUGGGGCGAACAUGGCUACUUCCGGAUUGCCCGCGGCACCAACGAGUGUGAAAUAGAGACCUUUGUAGUGGGUGUCUGGGGCCGUGUUGCAAUGGAGGACAUGCACCACAAAAAGUGAGGAGCGCCCUGUCCCUUGUUAGCUCACCAGCACAAACUUCUUUCCUUCUGUAACCCCUGCCCACCACCUUCUCCAAAAAGUCUUGAGAUCCGCCACACAGCCAAUUCCCACCCUCGCAUCUGACUCCAAUGCGAACAGACACAAUCCGAUUUCUACACAGGACUUGGUGAGACCCAGAACUAUCCUUGAGGUUUGGAGUGUCAGCGGCUUCAGCCAGAUUCUCCUUGAGAACUCAAAAAACUGUGGCCAAGGAGGUAAUCCUGGGAUCAUUGGGAGGACAAAGAAAAGUUCUCCUGUCAGACCCUUCAUUCCAAAGCAAAAACAAACAGAUCAAGAGCGAACCAGGAAAGCCACAUACAAAACGGCAUGAAGACUGAGUAAGUGUGGGAUAACUCAAGCAACCAAGCCAAGCCCUGUACUAGAAGGAAGGGGUAUUCAGCCUCUCUCGUGCCUGUGGUUCCCAAAAAUGUCUUCCAUACCUCACCAGUUCCUUGCAGGAGACAUUUUGGAACUUUCACUUCCUCAAGCCUGGCCUUUCCCCGUGGUUGCCUCUUGAACGGAGACUGUUCCAAGGCAGCGAAAUCAGAGUUGGCAGCUUCUCACAGCAAACCUUUCUGACCUCAAGUAGGAUGGGCUAGCCUACCAGCUGCCCUCCCUCACACAUGUACACAAGCCAGUUUCUGUGGAGACCACAGGAGAACAAGCAGUCCUCAAAACUGCCUAAUAUAUAUCUUUACUCCCAGAGGGUUGCCUCUUUCCUCGCCUUUCCUCUGCCUGUACUUCCAUCACUUUUCCAACCUGUCCAGAGGAGAAAUUUCCAACUCUUGGGCAUGUCUAGGUAUCUCUGGGCAAACAGUGGAAUCAUCCCAGCAAAUCCAGAAGAGACAGACUUUGUCAUGCCCAGUUUCAGGAUCUGGUCAAGCAUUUUUAUCACUGGGCACCACCACACACAUUGGGCCUGUCCAGAAAGAAAGAUGUUGUUCAGAUUCUGAGUGAAAAGGGUAUGCAGAAGAGCACCAGUUUUUCCAGACAAGUCUAGAGUUUGUUGCAUUUUGGGAUGUAAUUUUUAACUCAUCCAUUCAUGACUGGUGGAAGUGCCAAGAGUGCGAUUGCAUAUCCAAGCCUGCGAUGGGCAAUGCAGAAAAGAUAGCAGAAGUUCUAGCCCUUCAGGACACAUUCGUACUCAUCACAAUUGGCUGUGGUGCAAUUUCUGGACUAAGAUGGUAGCACGGGAGCCAGGGAAGUAGUUUUUCACUCUUACCAUUCAAAUGUCUUGCUUCCUGUACUCUAUAGGCAGCAGUGCAAACAGCUGCCCAGGAGAGUGGAGGUAACAGGGUUAUCUCCCAGCCCAGCCCUGCGCUGAAGCCCCCAAGUCCACUACCCCGGGAGGGACUGAAGGUUGAACCACGGGGCCACCACUGGAAAUAGUGGCCUAAUGACCAUGUCUAUGUAACUUCCACUUACCUGUUUACUAUCAUUUUACUUUGUCCUUCCUUCUCAGCAUUCAGGGGGUCAUACCAUUUUUCUGUCUCCUCUGUUUUACCCUCACAACAACAGUCCUGUGAGGUAAGCUAGGCUGAGAGCGAGGCACUCAGUAACUUUCUUAUCAACUUGAGAUAUGAACCUGGGCCUCUCCAGUCUUAGUCUGACUCUGCAACCAUGCUGCAACUCUGGCCAUUUCCGCACAACCAAAAUAAAACAUUUUGAGGCAGGAAAUAAAAUGUGUCCUCCAAGGAGUUCCAUAACAUUUUUUAGCCAGAAUGUUUUAUUUCUAGACUGAAAACACUUUAAAUGGAUCCUGUUUUCUAGCAAUUCUUUUGUUGAAACAUUUUCAAAACGUUUUGACUUGCUGUGUGUAUCUCUUUAAGAUGUUUCCAACACCUCUCUGCAGUCUCCAGACUUCCUCCCCGGCACUAUUUUUUGAGUUUGCUCCAUUGUCUUGUCUAUUUUCAUCGGGGGGGGGGGUGUUGGGGGGGGGAGGCAGUGAUGUCUUUUAACUACGAAGACACAACCUCUGAAGAAUUGCAGCACAUGACUUUGAAGCAUCAAGGCAUAAGAUCCAUGGAGAAGUUUUUUUAAAAAACAUUGAAACUAUCAGAAAAUGGCUGCCAGGAAUCCUUUCAAGGGAGUGAGUGCAAAUAAACAGCAAGGGGGGUUUGAAAACGUUUUCAAUGACUUGUGCGGAAAUGGCCACUCUUGAUCUUUAAAGCUCCUGCCUGGAGCCACCCACAAACGAAGUGGUAAAAUUGCACAGCGGCGGUAUAUGCACAUGUUUGGCACAGAACUCCUGUGGAAUGUGUAACACCACCUGAAGACCCACAUGAGCUGCUGAAGGGAGACAGCUGCAGCCAACGGUGACUUAUCUCACACUGCCUGCAGCUUUCCGGAUAAAACGUUGGGCUGCUGGAGCAAGCUACAUUGAAUUCAGUGCCUUCCUGGUGCCAACGCCUCCUCUUCGCGACUGGAAAAUAGAACACUCUUGCUCUUCUCUGACUUCCCCGUGUCCAAAGGCAUGCACAUGUUUUAAUUUUUUUUUCAUGAGAUCCAUUGCAAAGAGUGUUUAUGAAGUUCUGCUGAUGUAGAGAGAUCUCUGUGCACCAGCCUGUGUAUGAUGUGGGUUGAAAGCAGCAUUGUGUUUACCCCUGCCCCUUUCUUUCGGGUCUUAACUCCUGUCCCUCAGCCCCUUGGACAGGAUGUGAGGGUCUUUGGGUGCUUAAUCCCCUGCCCUGGCUGAAUAAGCCCAUUGUGAAGGCAUGCCGCUCGCUUAAAGGGCCAAGCUUAGCCAUAAGUCACAACCGGUCCUGUCUGCUUCGCUAGCAGCUUGUAAACACUGAGCCGCCCCCUAUUCAUAUUAAAGAAGCGGAGAGGGAAAGUGCACACCGAUGUGCAGCGCAUUCACGCGUGUCCAAGGCGGCUGGGGCUUUAGACUGAGGGCCUGAGCCAGCAUUUCACAUGGUAGGAAGCCAGAACGUGCAGUCACCCAAGCGUGUGUUCCCAUAUACACACCAUGCCAAGAUCAAAGCAGAGCUGAGGGAGUAGAUAGGUAUUUUGUGGGGGUAUUUUGUGAGGCUCAGUUUUGGAGUCACUGAACCAAUAAACCUGUGUCCGGUCUGUGCUGCUUCAGACCACAGGUAAAAUUUCACACAAUGGAAUGCAUCUUCACACACUCCCACUUCCAAGUUCAUGACAUGGAAAACUAACAGGGCAAGGAGAUGGCUAAACUAGUCCCCUUCUGCCUGCCAUGUUAGCUUUCAUAGGGCAGGGAAGUUGGCUGUAUGCCGAAUCAUCCAGUCAUUUGCACCCUGCCCUGAAUUCCAGAAUGGAACAAUCCAGGGCCAGGUUGACAGGUGGAAAAAAACACCUCGGGCCUUGAUUUAAAUGAGACACAGGCAAAAGCACUUUCCUGUGGGACUCAGUCCUCAUUUCGUUUGAAUUGGGUUAUUGCUCAUGCAAAAACAGCCGUGUGCCAGUGUCAUGUUUAAAUUGGGCCGUAGGCUUUUGUGUCAAGUGGCAGCUGGGAUGUGCCAAGUUAGUCUGUCAGUGUUUGCUGUGGGGGGGGGGGGGGGGGGGAACCAGGGUGCAGUGAAGCUCUAGUUUACCAGCAUCCACAGUCCCUUCCGAAAACAAAUUUCCACCCUGUCUGCUCUGCAUUUGCCUAUGCUGUGCCAUCCACUUACACUGAGUCAGAGGUUCCCUACCCCUGAUCUAGGAAAAAUGUAGUCCCGGGAAAAAUCUGAGUUUUCCGCCC